CUUAAGAUUGAGCUGUGAUGGGGAGAGGAACUUGUUCCUCGAGUCGUUGAUUUCACACUGCCGAGAAAAGCCUCUAGCUAGAAUAACGGUGCCCGUACCGCAAACCGACACAGGUAGUCAAGAUGAGAAUUCUAAGGUGAGCGAGCGAACUCUCGUUAAGGAACUCGGCAAAAUGACCCCGUAACUUCGGGAGAAGGGGUGCUCUUUGAGGUUCACGCUUCGAAGAGCCGCAGUGAAUAGGCCCAAGCGACUGUUUAUCAAAAACACAGGUCUCUGCUAAACCGUAAGGUGACGUAUAGGGGCUGACGCCUGCCCGGUGCUGGAAGGUUAAGAGGAGUGGUUAGCGCAAGCGAAGCUACGAAUCGAAGCCCCAGUAAACGGCGGCCGUAACUAUAACGGUCCUAAGGUAGCGAAAUUCCUUGUCGGGUAAGUUCCGACCCGCACGAAAGGCGUAACGAUUUGGGCACUGUCUCAACGAGAGACUCGGUGAAAUCAUAGUACCGGUGAAGAUGCCGGUUACCCGCGACAGGACGGAAAGACCCCGUGGAGCUUUACUGUAGCCUGAUAUUGAAAUUCGGUACAGUUUGUACAGGAUAGGUAGGAGCCUUAGAAGCGUGAGCGCUAGCUUACGUGGAGGCAUUGGUGGGAUACUACCCUAAUUGUAUUGGAUUUCUAACCCGCAGCACUUAUCGUGCUGGGAGACAGUGUCAGGCGGGCAGUUUGACUGGGGCGGUCGCCUCCUAAAGAGUAACGGAGGCGCUCAAAGGUUCCCUCAGAAUGGUUGGAAAUCAUUCAUAGAGUGUAA
rnacentral:rRNA from 1 species